UUUGUUUAUAUCAGUGUGUGUCAUGACACGUCCAAAGUUCAGGCCCUGUCCAUCUUGCCAGACACUCAAUGCUGCAAGCCUCAAAACUUGCAGCAUGUGUUAUGUGAGCCUGUCAAUGAAGAAGAAGUUGAAGGAAAAGACAGCAUCAUUGGACAGCAAGUGGGGUCAAGGUGCGAAAACUUGAGGCCAUAGGCUACAAGCCCAUUUUAUUUAUGGGAAAAAAAGACAAGAAGGCCUCUAACAAGUGGGUAGCUGACAUAAUAACCCAUUUGCCCCUCACAUCUACCACCAAAAACUUCUUGGAGAAGAUGAGGAGGGCUUAUGAAUUUCUUUUGACUAAGGAACAGCAGCCCAACACUGACCCAUCAGCAGAGCCUGAUAACCCCACCAUGGAGCAG